GACGAACGCUGGCGGCGUGCUUAACACAUGCAAGUCGAACGAAGGGGCGAACGGGUGAGUAACGCGUAAUCAACCUGCCCUUCAGAGGUGGACAACAGUUGAGAACGACUGCUCAUACCGCAUACUGAAGGAGGUGAUUGCGUCUGAUUAGCUAGUUGGAGGGGUCACGGCCCACCAAGGCGAUGAUCAGUAGCCGGUAUGAGAGGGUGAACGGCCACAUUGGGACCGGGACACGGCCCCGACUCCGACGGGAGGCAGCAGUGGGGAAUCUUCCGCAAGUGACGAAAGUCUGACGGAGCAACGCAGCGUGAGUGAUGACGGCCUUCGGGUUGUAAAGCUCUGUUAAUCGGGACGCGGUACCGGAAUAGAAAGCCACGGCUAACUACGUGCCAGCAGCCGCGGUAAUAC
rnacentral:rRNA from 1 species